AACCACAUCAUAGUUUAUUUGUUAUAACUCUAUACCAGUCUACUAAUAAUUAUUUUGUUGCCACAUUUCGUAGGUUUUCUGCUUUGUCAUUGGACUCCACACGUUAUUGGCACAAGCAGGGAGGCAAGCUAUAACCAAAUCACAUUGCCUUACUUCAUUGCCCCAAGGCCAUCUACAACACAGCAAAACAUCAUCAUUCUUCAUCGGCUUCACUCUAUAAGGCUGAAAGUGACUCUGGCUCUCCAUGGAGAUGUAGCACUCGUAAUGAAGCAAGAUGAAUGCAAUCGCCUGAUUAACAACAGCAGGAUCAAAGCGUUGAUAGCUACGACGAGGCGGGGAAAGACGCUGCCCAUUAGUCAAUUUGUUAAAGUCACUCAACCCUUUGACGCAACGUCAGAGCAUGCUGUGCUACAUCACGAAAAUUUGUUAAGG